GAAACCGGGGCUAAUACCGGAUGCUUGAUUGAACCGCAUGGUUCAAUCAUAAAAGGUGGCUUUCAGCUACCACUUACAGAUGGACCCGCGGCGCAUUAGCUAGUUGGUGAGGUAACGGCUCACCAAGGCGACGAUGCGUAGCCGACCUGAGAGGGUGAUCGGCCACACUGGGACUGAGACACGGCCCAGACUCCUACGGGAGGCAGCAGUAGGGAAUCUUCCGCAAUGGACGAAAGUCUGACGGAGCAACGCCGCGUGAGUGAUGAAGGUUUUCGGAUCGUAAAACUCUGUUGUUAGGGAAGAACAAGUACCGUUCGAAUAGGGCGGCACCUUGACGGUACCUAACCAGAAAGCCACGGCUAACUACGUGCCAGCAGCCGCGGUAAUACGUAGGUGGCAAGCGUUGUCCGGAAUUAUUGGGCGUAAAGCGCGCGCAGGCGGUUUCUUAAGUCUGAUGUGAAAGCCCCCGGCUCAACCGGGGAGGGUCAUUGGAAACUGGGGACUUGAGUGCAGAAGAGGAGAGUGGAAUUCCACGUGUAGCGGUGAAAUGCGUAGAGAUGUGGAGGAA
rnacentral:rRNA from 1 species